CCCUGGCUCAGGACGAACGCUGGCGGCGUGCCUAAUACAUGCAAGUCGAGCGGAUCUUGUCCUUCGGGACAAGAUUAGCGGCGGACGGGUGAGUAACACGUGGGUAACCUGCCUGUAAGACUGGGAUAACAUUCGGAAACGAAUGCUAAUACCGGAUACGCGAUUUGGUCGCAUGAUCGAAUCGGGAAAGAUGGAGCAAUCUAUCACUUACAGAUGGACCCGCGGCGCAUUAGCUAGUUGGUGAGGUAACGGCUCACCAAGGCGACGAUGCGUAGCCGACCUGAGAGGGUGAUCGGCCACACUGGGACUGAGACACGGCCCAGACUCCUACGGGAGGCAGCAGUAGGGAAUCUUCCGCAAUGGACGAAAGUCUGACGGAGCAACGCCGCGUGAGUGAUGAAGGUUUUCGGAUCGUAAAGCUCUGUUGCCAGGGAAGAAUGCUUGGGAGAGUAACUGCUUCCCAAGGUGACGGUACCUGAGAAGAAAGCCCCGGCUAACUA
rnacentral:rRNA from 1 species